UGCAGAAUCCCGCGAACCAUCGAGUCUUUGAACGCAAGUUGCGCCCGAGGCCAUCCGGCCGAGGGCACGCCUGCCUGGGCGUCACGCUAAACACGCUCCCGCCCCCCUCAUCGGGGAGCGGGAUGCGGCAUGUGGCCUCCCGUCUCGCAAGGGGCGGUGGGCCGAAGAUAUGGCUGCCGGCGUAUCGUGCCGGACACAGCGCUAGGUGGGCGUUCUCGCUAAGCUUAUCGCAGUGCAUCCGGUGCGUAGCCGACACGAUGGCCUCUAUAGACCCUUUGAACGGUGCGCAUGACGCUCCGACCGCGACCCCAGGUCAGGCGGGACUACCCGCUGAAUUUAAGCAUAUAAAUAAGCGGAGGAGAAGAAACUUACAAGGAUUCCCCUAGUAACGGCGAGCGAACCGGGAACAGCCCAGCUUGAGAAUCGGGCGGCCCUGUUGUCCGA
rnacentral:rRNA from 1 species